CAGUAGCCGCGGUAAUACGGAGGGUGCAAGCGUUAAUCGGAAUCACUGGGCGUAAAGCGUGCGUAGGCGGUUCGUUAAGUCUGUUGUGAAAGCCCCGGGCUCAACCUGGGAAUGGCAAUGGAUACUGGCGAGCUAGAGUGUGUCAGAGGAUGGUGGAAUUCCCGGUGUAGCGGUGAAAUGCGUAGAGAUCGGGAGGAACAUCAGUGGCGAAGGCGGCCAUCUGGGACAACACUGACGCUGAGGCACGAAGGCGUGGUGAGCAAACAGGAUUAGAUACCCGCGUAGUCCCUGUCUCUUAUAC
rnacentral:rRNA from 1 species